UCCCUCUCAGAAGAGCACCUGGAGGGUUUCCAGUACUCUACCAGUAUUGACUACGGGAGGGAGAGACAAGCAGAAGCAUGCCCAUUCCAUUCUUAGCUUGGAAGGUGGCUAACAAAUGGAAGGCAAUCUGCUACAAGU